rnacentral:rRNA from 1 species
UACGGAGGGUGCAAGCGUUAUCCGGAUUUAUUGGGUUUAAAGGGUGCGUAGGCGGUUUUGUAAGUCAGCGGUGAAAUUUUCCGGCUCAACCGGGAACUUGCCGUUGAUACUGCGAGGCUUGAAUAUGAAUGAAGUUGGAGGAAUGUGCAGUGUAGCGGUGAAAUGCAUAGAUAUUGCACAGAAGGUCGAUUGCGAAGGCAUCUGACUAAUUCAUUAUUGACGCUGAUGCACGAAAGCGUGGGGAUCAAACAGG